CUUUUGAUGAUUUUUUAUGUUUCGGUUUUGGGGUUUAAAACAAUGCUAUCGUGUUGCUCUUCAUCCACACGGUUGUCCCUCUAUUUGCUCUUCCACUUUUGUUUUGGAAGGGGCUAAGAGCUUAAGGAAUAUUGAUGAUGGAAGUAUCGAGGAACAUAGAGGUAAUGACGAAAAGGCUGGGGAGCAAGACAUUACUGCAGAGGGAGAGGCAGACACUUAAGACCUUCCCUAACUAGAACGGUUAUGUUUAUGGAUAAUAGGU